GACGAACGCUGACGGCGUGCUUAACACAUGCAAGUCGAACGGAAAGGCCCUGCUUUUGUGGGGUGCUCGAGUGGCGAACGGGUGAGUGACACGUGAGUAACCUGCCCUUGACUUUGGGAUAACUUCAGGAAACUGGGGCUAAUACCGGAUAGGAGCUCCUGCUGCAUGGUGGGGGUUGGAAAGUUUCGGCGGUUGGGGAUGGACUCGCGGCUUAUCAGCUUGUUGGUGGGGUAGUGGCUUACCAAGGCUUUGACGGGUAGCCGGCCUGAGAGGGUGACCGGCCACAUUGGGACUGAGAUACGGCCCAGACUCCUACGGGAGGCAGCAGUGGGGAAUAUUGCACAAUGGGCGGAAGCCUGAUGCAGCAACGCCGCGUGCGGGAUGACGGCCUUCGGGUUGUAAACCGCUUUCGCCUGUGACGAAGCGUGAGUGACGGUAAUGGGUAAAGAAGCACCGGCUAACUACGUG
rnacentral:rRNA from 1 species